rnacentral:rRNA from 1 species
CAGCCGCCGCGGUAAUACGUAGGGUGCAAGCGUUAAUCGGAAUUACUGGGCGUAAAGCGUGCGCGGGCGGUUUGUUAAGACAGAUGUGAAAUCCCCGGGCUCAACCUGGGAACUGCAUUUGUGACUGGCAAGCUAGAGUGUGGCAGAGGGGGGUGGAAUUCCGCGUGUAGCAGUGAAAUGCGUAGAUAUGCGGAGGAACACCGAUGGCGAAGGCAGCCCCCUGGGCCAACACUGACGCUCAUGCACGAAAGCGUGGGGAGCAAACAGGAUUAGAUACCCCUGUAGUCCCUGUCUCUUAUAC